GGAGAGAGAGUACUUUUAUAGAGGAGGGAAAGGGAGUAGGGCGAUGAGAGAAGAGGCCCGGCGGCGGCGGAGGCGAGGGGGAGGGAGAGCCGGCGUCGGAGCAGAGGCGGAGGAGGUGGCGGAGGAGGAGGGGACGGAGAGGAGGAGGGCGCAGAGGAGCAGGGGAGGGAGACGGAGGCACGAGUUGUCCUCCUCGGCUCCAGCGACGGCGUGGCGUGCUACCACCCGCUCCCGCUCGAGGCACGAAGGGCGGCGAGGGUCGGUGGCCCGCGGCAGGACGGCUGCGCCGGGUAAUGUGCGACGGUGGUCGCAGAAGAAGCCUACUUGGGGAGCUCGGGGGUGGUACCGCCGACGGAUGUCUCCUCACCUCGGGGGUGGAUCUCCUUUCUGACCGUGUCCAAGCUCCUACAUUUAGGUAGACUAUUUAACAACUACCCCUAAUUCAUAACAUGACUGUAUGGACUCUUGAAGUUCCUAGAUAGACGAUGGUCUUGUUGAAAACGACUCACCCGAUCGAGGCAUACCAUUAUAUAACUACCUUCAAUCUGUUCACCUCAACAUGAUAAACCAGUCUCAACUAUAAAAAGCCACCUCAACCCUUGACUUGACUACCUCAAUAUGAGUCACAAUCGAUGUGGACAAAAACCAGCGUACCUAUGAAAAAUACCAGCCACAUUCGCGUGUUCGACCACCAAGGACUCAAAAAUAUUUCAUCCCUCAUUCAAAUAUCCCCGAUAUUACCCACGACCCCUAGACUUAUAAGUUUGUCUUCUACCUUUAUAACCGUACGGUUCAUUACAGACAACACAGUAACACCUCAUGGAAAGACCUCCACGUAACUUUUAUUAAGACUAUUUCUUGUCCUCUUCCUUCAAUAGAACAUUUCAACACCAGGUCUAUAGACAACUGGAACGGUCUCCCUUACCGGGAGGAUACGGGACGAGGAGAGCGUAACCGCGUUUCAGCGGAGGAGGGGGUGGAGGCAGAGGUACACACGUUGUUGCUGGGGCCCUCCUCGAGCUCGGCGUCGCUACCAGGUACCACGGCAGUGGCAGUAGAAACCGUUCUCUUCGCACCCGACGUCUCUGCCGGCCUAAGCAGGCUGGGAGCGCGACGGCAGGCAGGUGGGAGCUCCUAUUACACAAACAAGUCGACUAGACAUGUCAAAGUUACGGCCCAACAAUUCCUCUUACGUCUACUACGUAUAAGAUGCUCAACGCCUGGGGGGUUGUCGUUUAAGUCAGGAUGCAGAAACUACCGAUUCGUACCAAAGUCAAGAAUCUACAAGCUAGGUAGUUCUUGAACAUGUUCGUCUCGACAGGAUCUCUUAUUUCGACGUCCGACUCAAAUCUAACAAGAAAACGGCCUUUACCUUGUCAAAGAUGUUGGUAUUACAGGCACGUGACGCUUUCUAGUAGGCAUCGUGGUGCUGCGGACUAUUGAUGAUACACACGGUGUACUGUAUUUGUAAACGUUGUUUUCCGUUUUCUUACGUGAAAUCGUAAGGGAAAAAAUACCCAAGCGAAAAGGGUGUGUACCUACGACUGGUACCACUUGACCGUUAGUGAUGAUCUCUGCCUUGAUGGCGACACUGCUGGGCGAAAUAAUUUCCACAACUGUUUCCCCGGUGGUAGUGAUUUCCGACCUCGCCGAAGAAGGCAGUCCGUGUGUACUUGCUUCCUGUUGGUAUACGAAAGCGGAAGUUUACGUGAAUGUUCCCUGACGUAGAUUAGCUGAUGAGUUAUAUUUGUUCAACGUUGUUGGGGAACAAUAUACUGAAGACACAAAUAGUAGGGAAUUCUGGUAGGACACGUAAAUCAAUAGCCAAUAAACGACGAAUCUGACGAUACAUCAUACGAAAACUUUAUCGAUACUAUUUUCUCUAUAUACGAAUUCGGAAGUUCACGUGUGGGUUUCGGG
rnacentral:rRNA from 1 species